UACGUAGGUGGCAAGCGUUGUCCGGAUUUAUUGGGUUUAAAGGGUGCGUAGGCGGUUCUGUAAGUCAGUGGUGAAAUACUCCAGCUUAACUGGAGGGGUGCCAAUGAUACUGCAGAACUUGAGUACAGAUGAGGUAGGCGGAAUUGACGGUGUAGCGGUGAAAUGCAUAGAUAUCGUCAAGAACACCUAUAGCGAAGGCAGCUUACUGGGCUGUAAACUGACGCUGGAGGCACGAAAGUGUGGGGAUCAAACAGG
rnacentral:rRNA from 1 species